rnacentral:misc_RNA from 1 species
CAGAGAACUUGCCCUUCGGGGUAGAUCUCCCACCCUGUGCUUACUUGCCUUUGUUGCUUUGGCAGGCCCGCCCCGCCCCGUGCGGGGCCGCCGGCUCCGGCUGGUCAGCGCCUGCCAGAGGACCUGAAACUCUUGUUGUCUAUGUCGUCUGAGUACUAUAUAAUAGUUA